rnacentral:rRNA from 1 species
AUUGAACGCUGGCGGCAGGCCUAACACAUGCAAGUCGAGCGGAUGAAGGGAGCUUGCUCCUGGAUUCAGCGGCGGACGGGUGAGUAAUGCCUAGGAAUCUGCCUGGUAGUGGGGGAUAACGUCCGGAAACGGGCGCUAAUACCGCAUACGUCCUGAGGGAGAAAGUGGGGGAUCUUCGGACCUCACGCUAUCAGAUGAGCCUAGGUCGGAUUAGCUAGUUGGUGGGGUAAAGGCCUACCAAGGCGACGAUCCGUAACUGGUCUGAGAGGAUGAUCAGUCACACUGGAACUGAGACACGGUCCAGACUCCUACGGGAGGCAGCAGUGGGGAAUAUUGGACAAUGGGCGCAAGCCUGAUCCAGCCAUGCCGCGUGUGUGAAGAAGGUCUUCGGAUUGUAAAGCACUUUUAGUUGGGAGGAAGGGCAGUAAGUUAAUACCUUGCUGUUUUGACGUUACCAACAGAAUAAGCACCGGCUAACUUCGUG